rnacentral:rRNA from 1 species
UACCAGACUCCUAAGGGAGGCAGCAGUGGGGAAUAUUGCACAAUGGGCGCAAGCCUGAUGCAGCCAUGCCGCGUGUAUGAAGAAGGCCUUCGGGAUGUAAAGUACUUUCAGCGGGGAGGAAGGCGAUAAGGUUAAUAACCUUGUCGAUUGACGUUACCCGCAGAAGAAGAACCGGCUAACUCCGUGCCAGCAGCCGCGGUAAUACGGAGGGUGCAAGCGUUAAUCGGAAUUACUGGGCGUAAAGCGCACGCAGGCGGUCUGUCAAGUCGGAUGUGAAAUCCCCGGGCUCAACCUGGGAACGUCAUUCGAAACUGGCAGGCUGGAGUCUUGUAGAGGGGUGUAGAAUUCCAGGUGUAGCGGUGAAAUGCGUAGAGAUCUGGAGGAAUACCGGUGGCGAAGGCGGCCCCCUGGACAAAGACUGACGCUCAGGUGCGAAAGCGUGGGGAGCAAACAUGAUUAGAUACCCGAGUA